rnacentral:lncRNA from 1 species
AUGGACUGAAGCCAACAACCUGCAUGCUUUUAGACGCAUCAACUGGAGGUACCAUGAAGAACAAAUUUGCAGCUAAAAUCCGAGAGCUCAUCGACAACAUGUCCUUGAACGAAUAUCGUCCUCAAAGCGAGAAUAGGGAUGUGGUAAAGAAGCAGGGAGUUCUAAGCUUGGAAACAUGAUGCAUUACUAGAAAGCAACAAACUCCUCAAUUACAAGAUCAAACUAGCUAAGAGAUGGAAGUGCAAGAAGUAGCAAAGUUGUCUAUCAAUAGUGUAAGCUAUGACUUUUGUGAGCACGCUCAUGAAAGUGGUGCAUGUCUUCCAACAAGUUUGAGGUUAUCUGAAGAACAUGUCAUGUAUAUGGGUGCAUAUACCAGACAACAACAAAUUCCCUACUCUAACAAUUUCAACUUCGGCUAGCCAACCCGUCAAAAUUUCUCUUGGGAAGUGAUGACAGGUCAUCUUAACUUGGUAAGGUUUGAAACUAAGUUUGAGGUUGCUUUUUGGAAUUAAUAACAUUUUAAGUUUUGGGUGGGGUACCAGUAGAGCUCAUUCAUCUGAAAAAAAAUGAAAAAAAAUAUAGAUUACCAUGGGUCUACAAACAAAAAAUAGAAAGAAAAAAAAAUCAAGAGCCAAAAACAUUAAAAAAAAAAAAUUGUCUCUUCAAAAAAAUAUGUUUAUUUAGAAAAAGAUAAAUAGUUAUAUUUAGUACAAAUCUUGUUUAAUUCAAGGAAGGAAUAUUGACAGUGCAUCAAUGUUUAGUAGAAAUCUUUGUUGGAACAAAAUGUGUUUCACAAUGAACCUUAUUAAGUUUUGAUGAUAACAAGGUAUUAAAAAUUGUCAAUUGGUUAUUACUAAUAACUGUUCAAGUGUACAGGACCAAAGGCUACUCAAGUUAUUUCAAUAGGUCUUGGAAGAACAAUGGAAAGAAAAAGAAAUUCUGAGCAUCUGAAGAAAACUGCUCCUGAAGCUAAACUGCUCCUGAAGAGAUGACGUCAUCAGAAGCAGAAAGUCAUCAGAAGCAGAAAGUCAUCAGAAGCAAAAGUUUUCAUCAGAAGCAAUAUCUUCACCAGAAGCUACAUUUGAUCCUUUAAUCAAACUGAAGAUUCAAAGUUGCUGAUUCUCAAUUCAGUCUUAUCAAAGAAGAACGAAGAACUGAAAGGGAGGUAUCAACGGAUAUAUGGAUAACACUGAGCACUUGUCUCUCAUUAAUAGAGUUGACAAAGUACAAGUGUACAACCACUACCUCCACUACUCUGUUUUUUGUCUACGCUACAAGACAAAACAACAGCCAUGCCUGCAGAAUUUGUACACUCAAGAUGGGAAUGAAUUUGAAGUUUAUUCUUCAAAGGACUACACCCAAAUCAGGCAAAGGAUCACUGGUGGAUAAUCAAAGGAUUUCAAACGACUCUUUAGACGUGCUGAUUAUCUCAACGUCUCUUUCACGCCUCUAUAUAAAGGAGUGAAGACUUGAAGAUAAAACAGAGAUAUACACAAGUUCAAAAGCGCCAAAACUCUGUCAAUUUGAUACUACAAAGCACACUGAAUUUCUGCACUGAUUUGAUACAUCUUAGAAAUUCAUAGUCUAGAGUCUUUUCUGUAUUGUAUUGUGAACACCACUGAUUGUAUAUCAAGUGUUCAAUUCAAACUCAAUUCUCUGUAUUUUUUGUUUGAUUAGAAGUCUCUUGCCUGCGUGCUUGAGCAUUAGAAGUCUCUUGCUUAGUGCUUGAGCAUUGGAAGACUCUUGCGUGUGUGCUUGAGCAUAGUUUUGUGAAGUCUCAUACUUAGAAAGUAUUGAGCAGUUGUAAUCUUGUGAUUAUAGUGAAAUCUCCUUGGAAGUGCAAGGGGGACUGGACUACUUCCGUGUUGUGGAAGGAACCAGGAUAACUGCUUGUGUCUUUGUCUUUCUUUUCUCUGCUCUGUUCUUUCCGCUGCAUAUCUGAUUCUGAUCAUUUCAUCAGAAGCACUCUCAAACUGCUUCUGAAGUUUUAUCAGAAGAAGGAUUUUUUUUAGACAGAAAAAGAAAACACAAUUCAACCCCCCCUUCUUGUGUUUUUCUCACCUUCAAUUGGUAUCAGAGCUUGCUCUGUUAUCACAGCACUUAACCGUGUUACAGUUCAAGAUCUAUUAGAAAAACAUGUCUGGAGAUGAGGAAUCAGUUACUCCAAAAUACACAAGCGUCAAGCAUGACUAUGAUACUGCUGACAAGAAAACAGACUCUGGAAAAGCUCCAAGGUUUAAUGGAGAUCCAGAAGAGUUUUCUUGGUGGAAAACUAAUAUGUACAGCUUUAUCAUGGGAUUAGAUGAAGAGUUAUGGGACAUACUGGAAGAUGGAGUUGAUGACCUGGAUUUAGAUGAAGAAGGAGCUGCUAUAGAUAGAAAAAUACAUACUCCUGCUCAGAAGAAGCUUUAUAAGAAACACCACAAGAUAAGAGGAAUCAUUGUGGCUUCUAUACCUCGCACCGAAUACAUGAAAAUGAGUGACAAAUCUACUGCGAAAGCUAUGUUUGCUUCUCUUUGUGCAAACUUUGAAGGCAGCAAGAAAGUAAAAGAGGCUAAAGCUUUGAUGCUAGUUCAUCAGUAUGAACUUUUCAGAAUGAAGGAUGAUGAGAGUAUAGAAGAAAUGUACUCAAGAUUUCAAACUUUAGUUUCUGGAUUGCAAAUACUGAAGAAAAGCUAUGUUUCUUCUGAUCAUGUUAGUAAGAUUUUGAGAAGCCUACCUUCAAGAUGGAGACCCAAAGUAACUGCUAUUGAGGAAGCUAAGGAUCUAAAUACUUUAAGUGUUGAAGAUCUUGUUAGCUCACUCAAAGUGCAUGAAAUGAGUCUAAAUGAGCAUGAAACCUCUAAGAAGAGUAAAUCCAUUGCUUUACCAUCUAAAGGAAAGACCUCAAAGUCUUCCAAAGCCUACAAAGCCAGUGAAUCUGUAGAAGAAUCACCUGAUGGAGAUUCUGAUGAAGAUCAAUCUGUAAAGAUGGCUAUGCUGUCCAACAAGCUUGAGUAUCUGGCAAGGAAGCAGAAGAAAUUUUUGAGCAAGAGAGGUAGCUACAAGAACUUCAAGAAAGAAGAUCAGAAGGGAUGCUUCAAUUGUAAGAAGCCUGGUCAUUUCAUUGCUGAUUGCCCUGAUCUUCAGAAGGAGAAGUUUAAAGGCAAAUCCAAGAAAUCAAGCUUCAACUCCAGUAAAUUCAGAAAGCAAAUCAAAAAGAGUUUGAUGGCAACCUGGGAAGAUUUGGAUAGUGAAUCUGGUUCUGAUAAAGAAGAAGCUGAUGAUGAUGCUAAGGCAGCCGUUGGGUUGGUAGCAACAGUAUCAUCAGAAGCAGUAUCAGAAGCUGAAUCAGAUUCAGAAGAUGAAAAUGAGGUAUAUUCUAAAAUCCCUAGACAAGAACUUGUUGAUUCUCUAAAAGAACUUUUAUCACUGUUUGAACACAGAACCAAUGAGUUGACAGAUUUAAAAGAAAAAUAUGUUGAUUUGAUGAAACAACAAAAGUCAACUCUAUUGGAACUAAAAGCUUCUGAAGAAGAACUCAAAGGGUUUAACCUCAUAUCAGCAACAUAUGAAGAUAGACUCAAGAGUCUUUGUCAGAAGCUACAAGAAAAAUGUGAUAAAGGUUCAGGCAAUAAACAUGAGAUUGCCUUGGAUGAUUUUAUUAUGGCUGGAAUAGACAGAAGCAAAGUUGCUUCUAUGAUCUACAGCACAUACAAGAACAAAGGCAAAGGGAUUGGAUAUUCUGAGGAGAAAUCCAAAGAAUACAGUCUCAAGAGCUACUGUGAUUGUAUCAAGGAUGGAUUGAAAUCCACCUUUGUGCCUGAAGGUACAAAUGCUAAAACUGCUGUUCAGUCAAAACCUGAAGCUUCAGGUUCACAGGCUAAGAUCACAUCAAAGCCAGAGAAUCUUAAGAUCAAGGUAAUGACAAAAUCUGAUCCUAAGAGUCAAAAGAUUAAAAUUCUGAAAAGAUCAGAACCUGUUCAUCAGAAUCUGAUUAAACCAGAAUCUAAAAUUCCAAAACAAAAGGAUCAGAAGAACAAAGCAGCUACUGCUUCUGAGAAAACAAUACCAAAAGGUGUCAAACCUAAAGUAUUGAAUGAUCAGAAGCCACUCAGCAUUCACCCUAAGGUACAAGGGAGGAAAAGUAAAACCUCCAAAGCUAACCCAAAAGGACCCAUGAAGAUAUGGGUACCUAAAUCUGAAUUGGCCAAAAAUGCAGGUGUGCUUAAGGGCAAGAGAGAAACAAAGGUCAUGGUACCUAGACAGCGGAUGUUCAAGGCACAUGACUGGAGAGAAAGCUUUGUUCCUUACCCUUACAAUGAAAGAUGGAGGAGAAGUGAAGUUUGGUGGCAACCAAACUGGAAAGAUCAUUGGUACAGGUACUAUUGGUAAUUCCUCCAUCUCAAUUAAUAAUGUGUGGCUAGUAGAUGGUCUGAAGCAUAACCUAUUGAGCAUAAGUCAAUUUUGUGACAAUGGGUAUGAUGUAACGUUCAGUAAGACCAACUGCACACUAGUUAACAAGGAUGACAAAUCCAUUACAUUCAAGGGAAAGAGAGUUGAGAAUGUCUAUAAAAUAAAUUUCUCUGAUCUGGCUGAUCAGAAGGUAGUUUGCCUUCUGUCAAUGAAUGAUAAAAAAUGGGUAUGGCAUAAAAGGUUGGGACAUGCUAAUUGGAGAUUAAUUUCUAAAAUUAGCAAGUUACAACUGGUCAAAGGAUUGCCUAACAUUGAUUAUCAUUCAGAUGCACUUUGUGGUGCAUGUCAGAAAGGGAAAAUUGUGAAAAGUUCGUUCAAAUCUAAAGACAUUGUAUCAACCUCCAGACCCUUAGAAUUACUCCAUAUUGAUCUUUUUGGUCCAGUUAACACUGCAUCCUUAUAUGGAAGUAAAUAUGGAUUAGUCAUUGUUGAUGAUUACAGCAGAUGGACUUGGGUAAAAUUCAUUAAAAGUAAAGACUAUGCAUGUGAAGUGUUUAGCAGCUUCUGCACUCAAAUACAAUCUGAAAAAGAAUUGAAAAUUUUGAAAGUCAGAAGUGAUCAUGGUGGAGAAUUUGAAAAUGAGCUAUUUGAACUUUUUUGUGAAAAACAUGGGAUUCUCCAUGAGUUUUCUUCUCCUAGAACUCCACAACAAAAUGGGGUUGUAGAGAGAAAGAACAGAACCUUACAAGAAAUGGCCAGAACCAUGAUCCAUGAAAACAACUUAGCUAAACAUUUUUGGGCAGAAGCAGUCAAUACUUCUUGUUAUAUUCAAAAUAGGAUCUAUAUCAGACCUAUGUUGGAGAAAACAGCUUAUGAACUCUUUAAAGGAAGAAGACCCAAUAUCUCUUACUUUCAUCAGUUUGGAUGUACCUGUUACAUCUUAAACACUAAAGACUAUCUGAAGAAAUUUGAUGCCAAGGCUCAAAGAGGAAUCUUUUUAGGUUACUCUGAAAGGUCAAAGGCAUACAGAGUGUAUAAUUCAGAAACACAAUGUGUUGAAGAAUCUAUGCAUGUAAAAUUUGAUGAUAGAGAGCCUGGAAGUAAAACUUCAGAGCAAAGUGAAAGUAAUGCAGGUACAACUGAUUCUGAAGAUGCAUCAGAAUCUGAUCAACCUUCUGAUUCUGAAAAGUAUACAGAAGUUGAAUCUUGUCCAGAAGCUGAAAUCACUCCAGAAGCUGAGUCUAAUUCAGAAGCAGAACCUAGCCCAAAAGCACAGAAUGAAAUUGCUUCUGAGGACUUUCAAGAUAACACUCAGCAGGUUAUUCAACCUAAAUUCAAGCACAAAUCUUCACAUCCUGAGGAGUUAAUCAUUGGAAGCAAAGAUAGUCCUAGAAGAACAAGAUCACAUUUUAGACAAGAAGAGUCUUUAAUAGGACUGCUUUCAAUAAUUGAGCCCAAAACUGUUGAAGAAGCUCUCUCAGAUGAUGGAUGGAUAUUAGCUAUGCAAGAAGAGCUAAAUCAAUUCCAAAGGAAUGAUGUGUGGGAUCUGGUACCCAAACCUUCUCAGAAGAACAUUAUUGGAACAAAAUGGGUAUUCAGAAACAAGCUGAAUGAACAAGGAGAAGUAACCAGAAACAAAGCCAGACUUGUUGCUCAAGGCUACAGUCAACAAGAAGACAUUGAUUACACUGAAACAUUUGCUCCAGUUGCAAGAUUGGAAGCAAUCAGGUUACUUCUAUCCUACGCAAUUAAUCAUGGCAUAAUAUUAUAUCAAAUGGAUGUCAAAAGUGCCUUUCUUAAUGGUGUCAUUGAAGAAGAAGUGUAUGUUAAACAACCUCCUGGGUUUGAGGAUCUUAAGCAUCCUGACCAUGUUUAUAAACUUAAGAAAUCACUAUAUGGCUUGAAACAAGCUCCCAGAGCUUGGUAUGAUAGACUAAGUAAUUUCUUAAUUAAAAAUGAUUUUGAAAGAGGACAAGUUGACACAACACUCUUCAGAAGGACUCUUAAGAAAGAUAUUUUGAUUGUGCAAAUAUAUGUUGAUGAUAUAAUAUUUGGUUCUACUAAUGCAUCUCUUUGCAAAGAAUUUUCUAAGUUAAUGCAGGAUGAAUUUGAAAUGAGUAUGAUGGGAGAAUUGAAAUUCUUUCUGGGAAUUCAAAUCAUCCAAAGUAAAGAAGGAGUAUAUGUUCAUCAAACAAAAUAUACAAAGGAGCUUCUGAAGAAGUUCAAGCUAGAAGACUGUAAAAUGAUGAACACUCCAAUGCAUCCAACCUGCACCUUAAGCAAAGAAGAUACUGGAACAGUAGUAGACCAGAAGCUUUACAGAGGUAUGAUUGGUUCUCUGUUAUACCUCACUGCAUCUAGACCUGAUAUUUUAUUCAGUGUAUGCUUGUGUGCAAGAUUUCAAUCAGAUCCUAGAGAAUCUCAUUUAACUGCAGUUAAGAGAAUCUUCAGGUAUCUGAAAGGAACAACUAAUCUUGGACUCCUGUAUAGGAAAUCCCUAGAUUAUAAGUUGAUUGGAUUCUGUGAUGCUGAUUAUGCUGGUGAUAGGAUUGAAAGAAAAUCAACCAGUGGAAAUUGUCAAUUCCUGGGAGAGAAUCUGAUAUCCUGGGCAAGCAAAAGACAAGCAACUAUUGCUAUGUCUACAGCGGAAGCAGAGUACAUUUCAGCUGCAAGUUGUUGCACACAACUACUUUGGAUGAAACAUCAGUUGGAAGACUAUCAGAUCAAUGCUAACAGUAUUCCCAUUUAUUGUGAUAAUACUGCUGCUAUUUGUUUGUCAAAGAAUCCAAUUCUACAUUCAAGAGCCAAGCAUAUUGAAAUCAAACACCAUUUUAUCAGAGACUAUGUUCAAAAAGGAAUUUUAGAUAUACAAUUCAUUGAUACUGAACAUCAAUGGGCUGACAUAUUUACAAAACCUUUGUCUGUUGAAAGAUUUGAUUUUAUUAAGAAAAAUUUGAACAUGCAUUUUGUGUCUGAUUGAAAAAUUGCUUGCCUCUGAAUAAGAAGUUUGGUUCUGAAGUUUAUUCAGAAGCAUUUUGGUUCAUCAGAAGCUCUUAAUUGAGGUUCUGAGGAAAAUGUGCUUCUGAAGAUGACGUCAGCACUAAAACUUCAGAAGUGUUAUUCUUUGCUUCUGAAUAGCUUGGUUAGUGGGAACGGUGGAAGUUACUUUAUGUAACAGCUGUCUCAUUACCCAAAAGGUAGUUUUCUGAAGAGUCUCUGACGUGGUUUAUUUGUAUUGGAGUAUAACAAAAAGGGCAAUGAUGUUUUUAUUCGCUUUUUAACGUACUUACACGCGCCCCCAAUUUGUCAUUAAUGCUGUGUUUGUUUGUCCCCUCUGAAUUACAAACGUUUUAAUAAAAACACUAAGUCAUUUCACACACUUCUCACUUCACAACAAACACUUUCUAUUUUCUUCUCAACCCUCUGCGAACGUAAGCGCAUUCUCUCAUCCUCUCAAAACACUUUAGAACCCUAAAACCACUUCAUAUCAAUGGCAUCUUCAAGUUCUGCCGGUGGUUCUUCAUCGAAUAUGGAUAUAGAUACUCCUGCUUAUGAAAUCAAAGGAAGAACUAUGUCGAUUGAGGAAUGGGAUCUAAUCAUUCAAGCGGAAAAUCCAGUGGAUUUCACUUCUCUAACUCAUCAUGGAUGCGACUUGGUAAGAUUCUACAAGAAGCAGAAGCUAAUGAGUUACUUCAGUCUUCUCAACGGUCCUACUUAUGAAGUGCUUGUCAGACAAUUCUGGGUAAGAGCUUCAGUGUUUGACAAAGUUGCUGCUAAACAGGAAGAAGCUCAGAUGAUUCUGGUUGAUCCUACUUUGGAGGGAAAAACCAGAGAAGAAAUGGGUCUACUCGCCUUCACUGGGACUGAGAUUAGAUCAAACGUCAUGGGGAUUCCUGUAACAAUCAAUGAGCAUGUGAUUGCUCAAGCCAUGAGAAGGGAUGCUUCUGGGACAUACGAUGGAGAAGAAAUUCCUAACCCCAGAACAAGCCCAUGGAAGGAGAUAGUAAACAACACUAUCUACGGAUCAAAGGAUGCUAAGCCUUACAGCACCUUAAGCAUGGAAAAGAAAAUGCUGCUGAAGAUCCAAAAUGAAAACAUUUUUCCCAAAGGUGGAGGAAAUGAUCAACCUUCACUUGGUCACAAAGUCUUUCUGCAUCACACCAUCUCUCAGGAAACAACAAUGAAUGUUCCCAAGUAUAUGUUUAAAUACAUGAUCAAGGAACUCAAGAAGAGCCAGAUGGAGAACAGGAAGUUUGUUCCUUAUGGAAGGCUGCUCUCCAUAAUCUUCCAAGAAGGAGGACUCCUAAGUGCCCUGAAAGAUGUGGGUAUUUAUGAUAAUCAGAAGCUGGGAGCAGUCACAGGAAAAAUAAUCAAUGGGGCAACCUUAGUCAAGAUGAGGCUGAUUUCAACAUGCAGCAAACUAGAUACAGAUAUGCAUGAAUCUGAUGUCAUAUCUGAUCUAGUCACUCAUCACAUCCCUAUCUGCAAGAAAGAUCCCCUGGAUGUGCAGAGGGCCUACAUCUUAGACUACUACAAGAGCUACAACAAGAAAAUCAGCCUGAAAGAUAUCCCAGAAGAAAUGUAUGGUGGUGAUCUGCCUGUGGCCAAAGGCAGAAAAUCUAAAAAGAAGCAGAUCACCAAGGAAGAAUACCUUGCUGAAGAUGCUACUGAGGUGGGUGCUCAGAAGCAUAAGAAAGCUAAGAAGGAAAAAUCUGCUAUGUCCACCAUUCUUGAGGAAGUGGAGGAUUUGGAUGAUGUCCCUCUUAUCAGAAAAAGGACAAGGAGUACUCAAGAAACAGCAGAACAGCCUGCUUCUGAACAAGCUGGUUCAGAACAAGCUGCUUCUGAUCAAGCUGCUUCUGAAAAGCCUCCAAGUCCCAGAAAUAAAAGAGAAGCUGCUCUUCAGACCAUCAAAAGGAAGAGGUCUAAUUUAACAAGAAAUCUGAAGACAGCUGAAGGAAGAAGGGCACAAAUGUUGGAAGAACUGGAAGAGAACUGGGAUGAAGACUCAAGCCCUAAGAAAGCAAAAAGGACUGCAACUUCUGAGCCCAUAGUCAUGCCCAGCUUCGAAAUGACUGAAGAAAUGAAGCAGUAUACUAGGGAGGUUGCUGCAUCCAAGAUAGCAGAGAAGAAAAGGAUGAAGAUUUUGUAUGAAGAAGAAAGGGAUGAACGUCUCAAGGCUGCAGGGUAUGUGCCUACUCCUGACAUUGCUGCUUUAGCAUCGGAGUUAGAAACUGUUAAGUAUGGAGCAACUCUGCUUUCUCAAGCCUUGAAGAAUAAGCAAGCUUCAGGAGCAACUUCAUCAGAACCAGCUUCAGAAGCUCCAGAAGCAGUUCAUCCAGAAGCUCAGUCUUCAGGUAAUCCAUCUAAUGCUCCAACUAAUACUCAGAUUCCAUCUCUACCCUCUUCACCCUCUUCAUCAUCCACAGAAUCAGAUGACCGGCCCCUUAGCCAACAUAUAGACAAGCUUCUUAAAACCAAACCUACCAAACUAACAGAUUUAGGAACACUUGACUGGGAGCAAACUCAAAUAGAAUUUUCUAAGAAUAGAAUUAAACUUUGUGAGAAAUUCAAUUUGCCUCCUACUCAUCCACUCUUUCCAGAUAAUCCUGAACCUGUUAGUGUACAACAACCUCAACCCAACCCAGAACCUACAACAAACUCACCACAUAACUCAACCACACAAAAAGCCUCUGAAGUAGCUUCAGAUGCAACUACUUCAGAAACCCCCCAACACCAAGAAUCCUCAACCCUUCACAACUUAGAAAAACAUCUAGGUGGUGAAAUGCAACCAACACCCACUAAGGCCUCUAAGACAGUUCCUGAAAAGACUGUUUUGGAAACCCAAACAGAAACCCAAACCAUCCCUGAGCAAACUGUUCAGGAGCAAACUGCUUCUGAACAAGUUGCUCCUGACCAAACAACUCCUGACCAUCAAACAACAGAACAACAACAACCAGACUCACCCACUAUAAUAGACUUAACCUCUGACCAACCAACCACAUCAAAUACAACUCAAACUGAACCUUCACCCAUCCCUGACCAUAUCCUAGAGUCUGAGUAUAUAGAGGAACAGCCGAUUAGACUUAGUGAUGAGAUUCAGGCACUGAUUCUUCGCAGAACAGUUCCUGCACCUCCUAUUCACUAUUAUGAUCAGUGGAUAGAUCUUCAGAAGAGCUUUGAUGAGUUGCUGGACCAACUCAGAACCAAAUGUGUGUCAUCUCACUCUGCAAUGCUGAAGAAGCUUUUGGAUGAUAUGCAUGAAGCAGCUAAGGACAAAGAGCUGAAUUAUGUACCUCUUCUGGACAUCACUCCUUUCUAUCCUGAAGAAGAGUAUAUCUCAAGAGCUGCAAGAAUUCAUGCUGGGCAUGUAAGAAGAAUGAGGGAAAAGGAUGAGCUACUUAAGAAGAAAGAUGAACAGAUCAAGUAUCUCUUAGAACAGCUGUAUAAGCAAGCCCAACCUUAGUUGCACACCCAACUCUAGCUUGUUUUUACUUUUGUUCUGUGUAGUCUUAUCUUUGUACCUUAACCUUCAUUUAUAAAUAUUAUCAUUGUUUCUGAAAUAUUAUGUUCUAUUUUUUUUAACUCUAAUGAUAUUUAUUGAUUUUAAUGUCAUAUGCUCUGAUACUUCUUGCUCUGAUACUUAUUAUGUUUUUAUUUGGUUAUAUGCUCUACUACUCUGUCUUUUGUUCUUAUUCUUUUUGUUGAUGACAAAAGGGGGAGUAAAUGUAUAGUAUUUUUAAGGCACUGAGCCCCACUACAACCACUUCUAAAUUUCUUUUAAAUACUUCUGAUUUGAUUUUAUGAGUAUUUUAUUGAAAUUUAAUUAAUAAGAAUAGAACUUAGGGGGAGCUUACAAACCUCACCUUAAGGAUCUAUUAGACUCAGGGGGAGCUUACAAACCUCUAUCCCAGUGGUCAACUUAUUAAUUAGAUCAACAACAAUUGAACAUUUUAAAUACUGUUGUUUGUCAUCAUCAAAAAGGGGGAGAUUGUUGGAACAAAAUGUGUUUCACAAUGAACCUUAUUAAGUUUUGAUGAUAACAAGGUAUUAAAAAUUGUCAAUUGGUUAUUACUAAUAACUGUUCAAGUGUACAGGACCAAAGGCUACUCAAGUUAUUUCAAUAGGUCUUGGAAGAACAAUGGAAAGAAAAAGAAAUUCUGAGCAUCUGAAGAAAACUGCUCCUGAAGCUAAACUGCUCCUGAAGAGAUGACGUCAUCAGAAGCAGAAAGUCAUCAGAAGCAGAAAGUCAUCAGAAGCAAAAGUUUUCAUCAGAAGCAAUAUCUUCACCAGAAGCUACAUUUGAUCCUUUAAUCAAACUGAAGAUUCAAAGUUGCUGAUUCUCAAUUCAGUCUUAUCAAAGAAGAACGAAGAACUGAAAGGGAGGUAUCAACGGAUAUAUGGAUAACACUGAGCACUUGUCUCUCAUUAAUAGAGUUGACAAAGUACAAGUGUACAACCACUACCUCCACUACUCUGUUUUUUGUCUACGCUACAAGACAAAACAACAGCCAUGCCUGCAGAAUUUGUACACUCAAGAUGGGAAUGAAUUUGAAGUUUAUUCUUCAAAGGACUACACCCAAAUCAGGCAAAGGAUCACUGGUGGAUAAUCAAAGGAUUUCAAACGACUCUUUAAACGUGCUGAUUAUCUCAACGUCUCUUUCACGCCUCUAUAUAAAGGAGUGAAGACUUGAAGAUAAAACAGAGAUAUACACAAGUUCAAAAGCGCCAAAACUCUGUCAAUUUGAUACUACAAAGCACACUGAAUUUCUGCACUGAUUUGAUACAUCUUAGAAAUUCAUAGUCUAGAGUCUUUUCUGUAUUGUAUUGUGAACACCACUGAUUGUAUAUCAAGUGUUCAAUUCAAACUCAAUUCUCUGUAUUUUUUGUUUGAUUAGAAGUCUCUUGCCUGUGCUUGAGCAUUAGAAGUCUCUUGCUUAGUGCUUGAGCAUUGGAAGACUCUUGCGUGUGUGCUUGAGCAUAGUUUUGUGAAGUCUCAUACUUAGAAAGUAUUGAGCAGUUGUAAUCUUGUGAUUAUAGUGAAAUCUCCUUGGAAGUGCAAGGGGGACUGGACUACUUCCGUGUUGUGGAAGGAACCAGGAUAACUGCUUGUGUCUUUGUCUUUCUUUUCUCUGCUCUGUUCUUUCCGCUGCAUAUCUGAUUCUGAUCAUUUCAUCAGAAGCACUCUCAAACUGCUUCUGAAGUUUUAUCAGAAGAAGGAUUUUUUUUUAGACAGAAAAAGAAAACACAAUUCAACCCCCCCCUUCUUGUGUUUUUCUCACCUUCAAUCUUUAGGUUGACAAUUUAACUUCACGUUCUUUUGUUAGCCUAUUUUCCCAAAUAUAUCAACCAUUAACCCAAGCCAUGCUACAACCCUGAAAGACCUCAAAGUGUGUAUAUAAUUUGAUCUUGACUUUCUCUUUCGAAUUGUCUCAAAUUUACAGCAAGGUACAUUCAUGUGACGACUAGAGUGGGCAAAUGUCGUGACCAGCCCUACUGGAUCUAGGAGAUACAAACGUGUAACAUGGAAAAGAGUAUGGUUGAUUGUAUGAGCUAUCUUCUCCAAGCUUGUCCUGCUAGAAUGUAACAAGGUAAGUAAAUCAAUGAUGUAAAUGUGAUGAAUGAUGAUCUGAGCAACUCUUCGAAAAGGUAUGUUUUUCCUGAAAAAAUGCAAAGAAUAAAAUUUGUUUUCCUUUCAUUACAUGAGCAUAAGCAACAAUUUAAGUUUCAGAUUGUGAUGGCAGGUCAUCAUAAGUUGUUUUUAGAAUGUUUUUCAGUCACGUUUGAUAAGUUUUACAUCUAGAAUAGAUGAGUAUUAGAGAAAUUGCUUAUGAUUUCGGGACAUUUGGAAUGUUUUCUGUAUUUGAGUCUGCGAUUCUAUUCUUCCCGAAACAUAGUUAUUUUAGGGUGUUUUGAUGUAAUUGACGAAGAAAUCAUGCAAAUCGGCAAUGCAAGACAUCUGAAGAGGGUUGAAGACCUUGGGAAGAUGAAGAAUGAAUAUUCAAGAUGCCUCAUAAGGCUUUACAGAGAGAGGAAUUUUAUUCCCAAGUUCCAAGACAUCUUAUAUGGAAGCAAACACCCAAAAAGACGAAGAAAUAGAUGUUCCGGGGCACAGACAGCAUUCACAUGCACCUGACACACGUUUCCGUGACCUUGGGCACACGAUGAGGCGC